rnacentral:lncRNA from 1 species
UGCUUGGUCUGCUGCUGAUCGCCGGAGUUCUCGUCGCCGUCUGGUAUGCCGAGUCUCAGCCUUGAAUUUGUCUUCUCUCUCUACCUGUGCGCGAUUCCGUAGAUUUUUUUUUUUGGCUCCACGAUUUCUGGGGGCGCAUGUGGUGGUGCUGCGUGCGAUCGAUGCUCUGCUUUAUCAUGUCCUCGCUUCUGCUUAUCAAGGAUGGCGGUUUCGGUGAACUAGGGUGCGGACGGCCAGAUCUGUCGAUCCGUGGAGCGGGGUUGAUGAUCCUGGAAGUUACUCCUCUGUUUGGUCAAGUUCUAGGUGGGGAUUUUGUGGGUUGUGGGGAGCGAUGAUCAGGACGGGAACUUCGAAAUGUUUUGUUUAUGUUUUUUAGGAGUUCAAUUUGAGUAUCCAGUAGAUCCUGCUACUUGUAUGAAUAUAACGCAUGGGAUUAAAUUUCCUGCUUGAUCAUAGUUCAUCGUAGAGCAAAUAAGAUCUAUUCGGUUUCGUAGUCGGCCACUCCUGAUACAGUAGCAUGCUGAAGUAAAGCGCGCUACGAAAUUGGAGACCACAGAUUACUUUUGUUUGUUUUUAUAUGGAGGAUCCAUAUCUGCUCAACUUUUUUUAAACAAUUGAUCGUGUGAACGUUUAGGUGCAUGCUGCAAGGCACGGUUAACUAUCAUAUAUUAAGUGCAUCAUAUUUUUCCUUUACUAAUGAAGUAUCAUUAUUUCCCGUUGAACAUGUAAAGUUGGGUCAGAAGUUGUGUCAUGAGUGGGGAACAGACCACUAGUUCCACUUUAGAUGAUGACGCGUCCAAAAUGAAGCUACUAGUAUACCUUCUAUCUUGUUCAAAUUUAUCCCUGUGUUGCCUGUUCGUUGAACGUAGUUUGUGGAUAUCAAAUAUUCCUACUAGUAUGCCUUUCAUCUUGUUCAAAAUUGUACUGUUCAAUUUACUUACUAGACCACACUAGUUCAGCGUCUGAUACCACAUCCAAAGUGAAGCUACAACAUAUUCACACUAGUUCAUCGCAGUGCAUUUUUUGUGAAUAUGUUGAAGACCUGCUCAGUGCAUCUUGUUACAAUCUGCAACAUUCAGUGGACUGACAAUUUGCCUCUGCAUGUUCUUCCUCCAGGUAGCUUGGGAGACAAUGGGAGGAGGCAAGGACAAGCAUGGCGAGAGUGACAAGGGGCUCUUCUCAAACAUAAUGCAUGGUGUUGGCGGUGGCCAUGGGUACCCGCAUCAGGGAUACCCUCCUCAAGGCUACCCACCACCACCAGGGGCGUACCCGCCUCCCCCUGGAGCGUAUCCUCCUCCACCCGGGGCUUACCCCCCUCCACCCGGGGCAUACCCACCACAGCAUGGGUACCCUCAACCAGGUGGUUACCCGCCACACGGUGGCUAUCCCCCUGCUGGUUAUCCGGGCUCGUCUCACCAGGGUAUGAAUUGCUCUUCCAUUCUAUGCUUAGCUUUUAAAAGUACAGAGUCAUCAGAAUGGAUAGCAAUAGCAUUCCUACUGAACUCCAUCAAGUACUUGUGCUUUUUUUGUUUCCAAAUAAAAAAUGGUAUUGGCUCAUUACAUUGAGUUUUGGAUCUUGUGGAUUGCUUCUUGUUCCUAAUCAUGCUAUGCUGCAAGAAACAAUUAAGCUGAUCAGUAACGCAUCGACUUUGGUAUGAUGAAAUAGUUCUAGCUCUGUUGUGUUGGAUUGCGCUUUAUUCCUAAUUACAUAAUUGUUCUGUACUUGUCUCCAAAAGGUGCACCAACUUUGAUUUCAUUAUCUGACAAGCAGCUACCAUUGUGAUUUCAGAAAUCUGUAGUCCUAUUGCGUCAAAUCAGCCAAAUGGUGAAGCUCAUUUCAUGCUAAUGGGAUAUUGUGGUUGCAGGUCAUGGAGGCAGCCAUGGGGGCAGCCAUGGUGGCUUAGGGAUGGGUACGGUUCUAGCUGGGGGCGCCGCCGCAGCUGCAGCUGCAUAUGGAGCACACAAGCUUUCUCAUGGGCAUAGCGGACACGGUGGGCAUGGGGUCUUUGGAGGCUAUGGCCAUGGAGGUCACGGCUUUGGCGGCCACGGCAAGUUCAAGCACGGCCACGGCCA